rnacentral:rRNA from 1 species
UACGUAGGCAGCAAACGUUGUUCGGAAUUACUGGGCGUAAAGAGUGUGUAGGCGGUUGGGUAAGUUUGGUGUGAAAUCUCCCGGCUUAACUGGGAGGGUGCGCCGAAAACUGCCUGGCUUGAGUACUGGAGAGGAUAGCGGAAUUCCUGGUGUAGCGGUGAAAUGCGUAGAUAUCAGGAGGAACACCUGCGGUGUAGACGGCUAUCUGGACAGUAACUGACGCUGAGACACGAAAGCGUGGGGAGCAAACAGG